rnacentral:rRNA from 1 species
ACGGAAGGCAGCAGUGGGGAAUAUUGCGCAAUGGGCGAAAGCCUGAUGCAGCAACGCCGCGUGAAGGAAGAAGGUCUUCGGAUCGUAAACUUCUGUCCUUGGGGAAGAUAAUGACGGUACCCUUGGGGGAAGCCCCGGCUAACUACGUGCCAGCAGCCGCGGUAAUACGUAGGGGGCAAGCGUUAUCCGGAAUUAUUGGGCGUAAAGAGUGCGUAGGUGGUUACCUAAGCGAGGGGUGAAAGGCAAUGGCUUAACCAUUGUUAGCCCCCCGAACUGGGCUACUUGAGUGCAGGAGAGGAAAGCGGAACUCCAUGUGUAGCGGUGAAAUGCGUAGAUAUAUGGAAGAACACCAGUGGCGAAGGCGGCUUUCUGGACUGUUACUGACACUGAGGCACGAAAGUGUGGGGAGCAAACAGGAUUAGAUACCCUGGUA